AUGCUCGCCAUGGUUUCAGUCAUGUUUGCUGUCUUUUGCCUGAAAGUGCACUCGUUUCGUAGAUGCCAAAUUCCUCCCAGCACCAGAAUGAUCAUUGUCUUGACUCCCUUCUUGUGCUCAGGCCUUGCACCGUUUAUGAUCUCAGUUAUAAUCUCCAUGGCUUUGCUCUUGUGUUGCCAGCUUGUGGGGUGCAUGGAACUGCAUCCGUUUCCUUGGGCAGCUCUGGUCCAGAUUUCAGCUGAGAAAGGGCACUGCCAGAAGAGAUGUUGCGAGGUCUCCAAGUUUCUGAGGCAAAGCUGGCAGAAGCACUCAUUCGGCCAGCCUCUUCUUUGGAGCCGGUCAUUGCACCAUAGCCUGUUCUUGAGCAGCAGCCAGACCAUGAAUUUCAGCCGGGCCGGUGCCCAAACCUGCCAUGGCAUCUUUCUGAAGUUUGUCUUGAUCAUCCCGUGGAAUUGGCAGCUGUAG
rnacentral:rRNA from 1 species